UACGUAGGGGGCAAGCGUUAUCCGGAUUUACUGGGUGUAAGGGGAGCGUAGACGGCAUGGCAAGUCAGAUGUGAAAGCCCGGGGCUCAACCCCGGGACUGCAUUUGAAACUGUCAGGCUGGAGUGCAGGAGAGGUAAGCGGAAUUCCUAGUGUAGCGGUGAAAUGCGUAGAUAUUAGGAGGAACACCAGUGGCGAAGGCGGCUUACUGGACUGUAACUGACGUUGAGGCUCGAAAGCGUGGGGAGCAAACAGG
rnacentral:rRNA from 1 species